rnacentral:rRNA from 1 species
GAUGAACGCUGGCGGCGUGCCUAAUACAUGCAAGUCGAGCGAACAGGCGAGGAGCUUGCUCCUCUGACGUUAGCGGCGGACGGGUGAGUAACACGUGGAUAACCUACCUAUAAGACUGGGAUAACUUCGGGAAACCGGAGCUAAUACCGGAUAAUAUAUUGAACCGCAUGGUUCAAUAGUGAAAGACGGUUUUGCUGUCACUUAUAGAUGGAUCCGCGCCGCAUUAGCUAGUUGGUAAGGUAACGGCUUACCAAGGCAACGAUGCGUAGCCGACCUGAGAGGGUGAUCGGCCACACUGGAACUGAGACACGGUCCAGACUCCUACGGGAGGCAGCAGUAGGGAAUCUUCCGCAAUGGGCGAAAGCCUGACGGGGCAACGCCGCGUGAGUGAUGAAGGUCUUCGGAUCGUAAAACUCUGUUAUUAGGGAAGAACAAAUGUGUAAAUAACUAUGCACGUCUUGACGGUACCUAAUCAGAAAGCCACGGCUAACUACGUG